rnacentral:rRNA from 1 species
CCUACGGGUGGCAGCAGUGAGGAAUAUUGGUCAAUGGUCGCGAGCCUGAACCAGCCAAGUAGCGUGCAGGAUGACUGCCCUACGGGUUGUAAACUUCUUUUAUACAGGAAUAAAGUGCGGCACGUGUGCCUUUUUGUAUGUACUUUAUGAAUAAGGACCGGCUAAUUCCGUGCCAGCAGCCGCGGUAAUACGGAGGGUCCGAGCGUUAUCCGGAUUUAUUGGGUUUAAAGGGAGCGUAGAUGGGUUGUUAAGUCAGUUGUGAAAGUUUGGGGCUCAACCGUGAAAUUGCGAUUGAUACUGGCAGGCUUGAGUACAGUUGAGGUAGGCGGAAUUCGUGGUGUAGCGGUGAAAUGCUUAGAUAUCACGAAGAACUCCGAUUGCGAAGGCAGCUUACUAAACUGCCACUGACAUUGAUGCUCGAAAGUGUGGGUAUCAAACAGGAUUAGAUACCCCAGUAGUC